rnacentral:rRNA from 1 species
UAACGAAUAUUCCGCAAUGGACGAAAGUCUGACGGAGCAAUGCCGCGUGCAGGAUGAAGCGGUUUCGCCGUGUAAACUGCUGUCAGGGGCAGGAAAAACUGAUCCGCCCCCAAAGGAAGAGACGGCUAACCCUGUGCCAGCAGCCGCGGUAAUACAGGGGUCUCGAGCGUUAAUCGGAAUCACUGGGCUUAAAGGGUGCGUAGGCGGAUCCGUAAGCGCUUUGUGAAAUCCCCCGGCUCAACCGGGGAACUGCAGGGCGAACUGCGGAUCUUGAGGAAACUAGAGGCCGGUAGAACGAUUGGUGGAGCGGUGGAAUGCGUAGAUAUCAAUCGGAAUGCCAAAAGUGAAGACAGCCG